AUGGACCCAAGAACGCUUUUCGGUAUCUCCAU
rnacentral:sRNA from 1 species